UACGUAGGGGGCAAGCGUUGUCCGGAAUCAUUGGGCGUAAAGCGCGCGUAGGCGGCCAGAUAAGUCCGGUGUGAAAGUCACAGGCUCAACCUGUGAAUGCCGCUGGAAACUGUCUGGCUUGAGUCCGGAAGGGGCGAGUGGAAUUCCUGGUGUAGCGGUGAAAUGCGCAGAUAUCAGGAGGAAUACCGGUGGCGAAGGCGGCAUCCUGGACCGGCAUUGACGCUGAGGAGCGAAAGCCAGGGGAGCAAACGGG
rnacentral:rRNA from 1 species